GAGUAACACGUGGGAAACCUACCUCUUAGCAGGGGAUAACUAUUUGGAAACAGAUGCUAAUACCGUAUAACAAUUAGAACCGCAUGGUUCAGUUUAAAAGAUGGUUCUGCUAUCACUAAGAGAUGGUCCCGCGGCGUAUUAGCUAGAUGGUGAGGUAAUGGCUCACCAUGGCAAUGAUACGUAGCCGAGUUGAGAGACUGAUCGGCCACAUUGGGACUGAGACACGGCCCAAACUCCUACGGGAGGCAGCAGUAGGGGAUCUUCCACAAUGGACGAAAGUCUGAUGGAGCAACGCCGCGUGUGUGAUGAAGGCUUUCGGGUCGUAAAACACUGUUAUAAGAGAAGAACGUCAGUGAGAGUAACUGUUCAUUGAGUGACGGUAUCUUAUCAGAAAGGGACGGCUAAAUACGUG
rnacentral:rRNA from 1 species